AUGGAUUCAUUUGCAUCUUAUUAUUGGGAGCAUAUUUCUUCUUAUUUUUCCUUUGGCAAGCCAAGUAAAAUUCUAGGAAUGCUCCAUCAUUCCUUCGCUGAUGAUAAGAGAACCACCAAUGCUCAUGGAUUCUCGAUAGGGAACUUGCCAGAUAAAGAAUUCUGUUGUCUGUGCUAUCCCAAGGAGGGUCCAUGCUGUGGACAGAUACACAGAGCUUUGAGUGAGGGGAGUGCAACUUUCUCCAAUGCUGCCUAUUACCAAAGUUAGGAACUUGUUAGAGGAGAAAGGGCUACUCAAGCUCCUGGGAGAAAG
rnacentral:lncRNA from 1 species